ensembl:lncRNA novel transcript
UUGGCUCCAAGCUUCAGUGCCUUCUUCCUGGCUUCCUCGAAGUCUUCCUUCUGGCCAGUAUUGGCCAGGUAGGCAGUGACAUCAUAGCCUUGUUCCUUCAGCCACACGAGGAUGCAGGAGGUGUUCAGGCCACCACUGUAGGCCAGAACCAUGGAGCCUUUGCUGGACAUAGCGUCUGGGAUUGGAGGCGUGAGUUCCCGGUGUCUGGAAUCUGUCUUCACGGUGCAGUGAACCACUCGGGCCCGAGCAGCGGUGGCAGGCGACAGAGCAGGUCUCAGCUUGGUUGUCACUUCCUCAAGGAAGCCUUCCCUGAUUUCUCCUCUGCCUGAUGAACCUAGAUCUUCCACUCCAUAUUCCUAUAACACAUUCAACUUUUUUUCAUAGCACUCAUCACUGUUUAAUUCACCUGUUUAAUGCUUGCCUUUUUCAUUACACUGUAAACUCCAUGUGUUUACUGCUAUAUGCAAGAAUUAGCCUGAUAACUUACACUGGG